AUGUUUUUUUUGCAUGAAGGUCAUUGCUACAGAUGUCAAAUAAAUUUACCAUAUGUAUGUACUAUAGUCUGCUCUUGCAAUCAUCUGCCAGAGUUAGGAAACAUCUGCGCCCUCAACGCCAUGUGGAACAUGUUUAAUUCCUCUCUCUGUAUGAGGCAUCUCAAAGUAAGGACAUGUUGUCACUUCCAGGUUCCAGCCAAACAAGCAGUGAGAGUGUUGUCAUUAUCCUUUGGAACACUGCUUUAUAGUCCAACUAUCCUUAGAGAAGCGACCUCACAAGAUAAUACAUCAGCAGUCAGUGUAGUUGCUUCUGACGAUACAGAAAAAAAUUCAAACGAGAAACCCCGGUACAAAAUAAAAAGUCGAAUUUACUGA
rnacentral:rRNA from 1 species